UACGAAGGGGGGCUAGCGUUGCUCGGAAUCACUGGGCGUAAAGCGCACGUAGGCGGCUUUCUAAGUCAGGGGUGAAAUCCUGGAGCUCAACUCCAGAACUGCCUUUGAUACUGGAGAGCUUGAGUCCGGGAGAGGUGAGUGGAACUCCGAGUGUAGAGGUGAAAUUCGUAGAUAUUCGGAAGAACACCAGUGGCGAAGGCGGACUCACUGGCCCGGUACGUGGACGCUGAUGUGCGAAAAGCGUCGGG
rnacentral:rRNA from 1 species